UCACAGCUCAUAGAGAACGGGCGUAUCAGGGAAGUACCAACGCCCAUUCUCCCCUGAGCUGUUCAGAGCAUCCAGUAGUGGGACAUACCAAAGCUUGGACAGUCCUACGGGAGGGCCUCCGUCUGGUUAGAAGUCCUGUCCUGAUCUGG